AUGAAAUUAUUCUCGGUUUGAUAAAUACGGUAUAGUAUGGUUUAAUACGUGCUAUUUAGAAGAGAGAUUAUGGUAAUGGUUUAGCGCGUAUAAUGCACGGGUUUUGUGUGCAUGUUUUAGCGCGAAAGCGCACGAGUUUUUCGUUUUGGGGUAUAUAUGAUUUGCACAUCUAGUGAGACGCCAUUCGAGGGUUGUUUUUGACAGGCAAAGUUAUGGAGCAAGAAAACGAAAGGGUGAUAAAGUAGUUUAGGCGUUCAUUUGCGAAAUACAUAGUAUUCGGAAGGAGAUUUUCGAUGCGAGGACUGAUUCUCUGCUAGAAGCGGAAUGGUGAGCUGGAACUUCGGACAAAGAAGCUGCACAGUUCGAAGAAUAAAUAAUGAAUAGUGUAACAUUAUAGUUAGAGGGCAGCUCGAAAGGUAUAAUUUGUUUGUUUUUUUGUGUAAUUAUGUGUUAGAAAAUAACUUGUUAAGAUUAAUAAUGAUGAUUUUAUUGAUGAUGAUGUUAUAAAUGUUGAUGAUGAUGCUAACGUUAUUGAUGAGGAGGAGGAAUAGUUGACAGCAUUUUGUGAAUGGAUAAUACUACAUUAACGAAUUUUUAGUGAAUGAAAUUAUUUUAGGUUUGAUAAAUACCGAAUGAUGUUGGUCUAUACAUAUUAUUUAGAAGAGAAAGUGAGUAUGGUUAUGGUUUAGCACGUAAAAAUGAAUGAGUUUCUAGGUUUUGCGUUUAAUUGAACAAAAACAAGUAACGGUUCAGCAACAGGGAUUAUUCUCAGAUGGUACAUGUAUUCCUUUUAGAGUCACAGAAAUUCAACUUUGCAUCAAUACCGGUUCUCUUUGAGAUUUGUUUGAUGGGUUAAAAUUCCAAAAAUUGACGAGUUUUGCAGCCGACCAAGUACCUAUAGCUUUGUAUUUGAGUGUGUUAAGCAUUUUGUUGUUUUCAAAUUAGUAAAUCAAAAUUAAUACGGUGUUCUAGUAUAUCAAUUGAGCUUAUGCUAUUGCCAUGGAAAUUUGAGCCAGGGUUCGAUCAGUAGCUUAAAGUUUGUCUGUGUUGGUGAAUUGAACCUUAAAACAAAUGUCAAGUCGGUAGUUUUAAUUUUAAGAGCAGAACAUACGUAUUGAUUUUGAGAACAUUAGUAAAAUGUGUUUGGUAUUUGUGCAUGUCUCUUGUGGUCAUUGGACAAAGUUGUUUAAGGCCAAUUGGCCUGAUUUUGAAAGCCAGUUGGCUUGUAUGGUCAGUUGACCGUUUUUAAAGCCAGUCUAUAUGGUGUGUGAAAGCCUGUUGGCUUGUGUUGUCAGGUUACCGAACUUUCUUGGAACGAAAGUCUCAUAGAAUUUACAAUAUUUGCAAAAUUAUUGUUUGCAAUGCAGUAACUGGACUGUUGGAAUAGUAUAUUAAGUAUUGAAGAACAUAAAGGUAUGGUUUAUGUAGUAUGUUAUUAUUAUUACUAUGAUUAUUAUGAUGUAUUUUAUUUGUGUGCAUUCGGAAAAUUGCAAAGCCUGUAGUUAAAAAGGAGCCUAUUACAUCAGAUAUAUUAAAGAAAUUUUAUCACACUUUUGUUUCUGAGAGCGAUUGUUCUUUGGGGUAUUUAAGAGGCGUUACAAUCUUUUUCUUAUUUUAUGCUGGUUUUUUAGGUUAAGUGAAAUUUUGUCUGUUAAAAGAUCAAAUGUUGUAUUUUUAGAUACGCAUUGUGAUAUUAAAGUUGAAAAGUCAAAAACGGACAUUUUAAGAGAGUGUAAUACUGUUCUGAUUGCAAAAACUAAUACAGACACUUGUCCUGUGAAAUUGUUUGAAAAGUAUUUGUGUGUUGCAGAUAUUGCAUGUUCAUCUACUGAUAAUGUGUUUAGACCAGUUUAUUUGUGUAAUGUUAAACACUGUUUCAAAUUGAUUUCUAAUAAUAAGCAUAUAAGUUAUUCUACUAUAAAUGAUAGUUUAAAGAAGAAGUUAAGUCUAUUGGGUUAUGUUUCUUCUAAAUAUGGACUUCAUUCUUUUCGUGCUGGUGGAGCAUCUAUAAGUGCCAAUAAUAAGACUGUGGAUAGACUUUGGCAAAGACAUGGUAGAUAAAAAAGUGUUUCCACUUAGGACGGAUAUGUUAAAGAUUCUUUGAAAGACAGAUUAUCGGUGUCGCUAAAUUUAGAUUUGUGAAAAGUCAUUAUUAAUGUAUGUGUGAUUUGAAAUGUAUGAUGUGUUGUUCGUAGCACAUUUAAAGACACUAUAAUAUAUUAUUAUAUAAAUGGUUUGGAAAUGCUUUUGAGUAUUAUUAAGUUCUGUGUUUGUGUUGUGUGUAUGUUUCCUUGUGGUCAUUGGACCAAUUUGUUUACGGCCAUUUGGCCUGAUUUGGUAAGCCAGUUGGCUUGUAUGGUCAGUUGACCGUUUUUUAAAGCAAGUUGAUCUGAUGUGUGAAAGCCGGUUGGCUUUUGUGAGUUGAACUUAUUUUCUUAAAAAGCAUGUUCACAUGGAAUAAACAAUCUUUGCAAGUUUAUUUUUUGCAGUGCAGUAACUGGACAGUACGAAUGGUAUAUUAAGUAUUGGAGAACAUAAAGGUAUGGUUUAUGUAGUAUGUUAUUAUUAUUAUAAGGAUUAUGAUUAUGAUAUUUUUUAUUUCCGUUUUAAUGUUUAUCAUUAAUUUUGUAAAUAUUGUUUUAUUAUAUCUGUUUAAUUCUCUUUUGCAUUAUUCGAUUGGUCAUUUGACCGUUUGUGAAGGCCAGAGUGUGCCUGAUGUUGAUUAGCCGUUUGGCUUGUGUGGUCAUUUGACCGUUUGUGAAGGCCAGAGUGUGCCUGAUGUUGAUAAGCCAGUUGGCUUGUGUGGUCAGUUGACCGUUGUUGAAGGCCAUAGUGUGCCUAUUUUGAUUGAAUUAAUUUUAUUGCUUUUACAAAUGUUUAUAAUUGUAUCUUUUCAGUUAAAACACAGUUCGAGAGGUAUAUAACGUGGUUGAGAAUAUUUAGGUAUUCAUUUUAUGUUUUAUAUUAUUUGUAUUCUCUCUUUGUUUUAUUCGAAAGUCCUGUCAAAUACAAGCACUCACUCCUA